GAGGAACUCGGUCUGUUUGAUUCGAUUUAGGUUGCACAGGUCUUCAAGCCCAACUCUGAUUUUUAUCAGACCUGUGCAUUAGGAACUCACGCCAGUCACGUACCUGAGACGGCAGUCUGUAGUGUGAUGGUGAAGAUACGAUGCUAACCAGGCUAUUUCAGAUGCAGCGCAGAACUCAUCAAAGCAACCAAAACAGAUUUACCAGAUACACAGAUGAACCUGAAAAAUGGGCAAAGAUUUCUGGUGGGUGUACAAUCUUGGUAUCAGGGAGGAAUAGCCUCUACCAGCAGCUAACAGAUGAGAAAUCAAGGAACAGGAGUGCAAGGAGGGUCAAGAUAAGGAGAAGCAAACAGGAGCAAAGGGAAGGAAGGCUACAACCUAGAUAGCCAGUUAUUGCCCAACUGUACGUGAAGAACUUGUUCAAGUGUGAUAUGCUCAUUUCCAAUUCAUUAACUCUCGCAUUCAUUUUACAUUCUCUCUUUCACUGAUCACCACAUUGCCCUCUUGGCCUGUUUUAAAGAUAAAAGCCAAUGCAAAAUAUAUAUGUCAAAUCAAAUUUAUAAAUUAAA